rnacentral:SRP_RNA from 1 species
GCUGGGCGUGGUGGCACGCGCCUGUAGUCCCAGCUAUUGGGAGGCUGAGGCAGGAGAAUCACUCGAACUCAGGAGGUGGAGGUUGCAGUGAGCCAAGACUGUGCCACUGCACUCCAGCCUGGGUGACAGAGUGAGACUCUGUCUCAA